rnacentral:rRNA from 1 species
GCAGCCGCGGUAACACGUAAGUUGCGAGCGUUGUUCGGAAUUAUUGGGCGUAAAGGGCAUGUAGGCGGUUAUAAAAGCUUGAUGUGAAAUCUCUGGGCUUAACCCAGAAACUGCAUUGAGAACUGUAUGACUAGAGUUACUAAGGGGAAACUAGAAUUCCAGGUGUAGGGGUGGAAUCUGUAGAUAUCUGGAAGAAUACCAAUGGCGAAGGCAAGUUUCUAGUAGAUAACUGACGCUGAGGUGCGAAGGUGUGGGGAGCGAACAGGAUUAGAUACCCC